rfam:Hordeum vulgare subsp. vulgare, WGS project CAJW01000000 data, contig: morex_contig_39484
AAAGUAGCUCCUCCAUCCCAAAAUUCUUGUCUUAUAUUUGUUUAGAUACGAAUGUAUCUAGUCAAAUUUAGUAUUUNNNNACAUCCAUUUCUAGACAAAGCUAAAACAAGAAUUUUGGGACAGAGGGAGUAUCAU